AGUGGCGACAGACAGCAGACCGUCAUUUGUUACUCGGCUGCAGGCACACCGGACAGAAUGAAGGACGUGUAGAAAUGACUCACGCACGGCGUUCUUAAAACUCGACAGUAAACAGGGAUCCACCACACAUUGUUGCCUUCGCAAUGCAAUGUCAUCAGGUAAUAAUAGGACAGUCACUAGAUCACGGGUGGGAGAUUAGGAGCCCGUAAGAAGUCAAUCUCACCAGCACCGAUGUUCAGAUAUCCUAAACAACUCAUCCAUUUCGUUUCCAUGACAAUGCCAGCCACUUAAGCCUCUGUUUUACGACAAUCCAAUUUACGUCUUCGCCCCCAUCAGAAUAUUCAUAAAAACGAAACUGACACCGUGAAGUCACGCAGAACUGGAGGAGAAACAGCUGCCAGCACUCUACCGCCAGAUCGCAUCCUCUGCAAAGCACACGGCAGCCCGAAGGAUGGCGCAUGCGCGGGCAAAGUGCCAGGUGCGCAGUUUAAAUGUAAGAACCUGAGACGCAGCAGUCAGUAUUUCCACGCUCGACCUUUAUUUCCCAUAAAUGAACGCGGCCUUCGUAUGGGCAACAGAUUGCAAAACCAGGUAAUAUUCUGUGCCUAUCAAAAGCAAAACUGGGCCUCAAACUGGUACUCACUGCACCAUCCCACACCGAUGUGAAACUCUCGAGACGCUGCGCGUUGGGACUCAGAGAACGGACGAGGGCCAGGGGUAUGCCAGCACAUAAUAAAGGGACUGUCUCUGUCUCAUCGCAAGGGAUUGAUGACACACUUUUGGAAGGACGGAGAAUGGACGCCGUGUCACGAGAUGAUGCACCCUGGUAGAGGAGACUCAGUAAGAUACACAAAACAGCAGCGAAAGACUGGGCACAAACAAAUGAGAAGCAGUUAUGGAAGUAAGAGAAAAUUGCAUAAGGCACCGUCAUAACAUUACCCAUAUGGUACAAACAUCAACGUUG